CCUCCUUUCUAAGGAAAACCAAUAAAAUCAAUCAUCUUCAGUUUUGAAAGACUUAGGAUAACUAAGUUUUUCUUCGUGGCUUCACGAAGGGCCUAUAGCUCAGUCGGUUAGAGCACACGCCUGAUAAGCGUGAGGUCGGUGGUUCAAGUCCAUUUAGGCCCACCAGAGUUAUAGGUGUCGUAAGAACACAAAUUCUUUGAAAAUUAGGUAAAUAAUAGUUAUUUCUCCGGAACAUUAAAGGAAAUAAGAGCGCACAGUGGAUGCCUAGGCACCAAGAGCCGAUGAAGG
rnacentral:tRNA from 1 species